GAGGGUUAUAGUAUUGUCGCUGCUAACGAUGAUAAGGGUUAAUAAGUUAUCCAACUCUCU
rnacentral:tRNA from 1 species